rnacentral:tRNA from 1 species
GCCCAGGUGGUGGAAUUGGUAGACACGCUAGGUUCAGGGUCUAGUGCCUUUACAGGUGUGCGAGUUCGACUCUCGCUCUGGGCA